rnacentral:lncRNA from 1 species
AUAAAUAUCACAAGAUUAGAAAUUGAUAGUCUACUGAAUGUAACAAUAAACUAUUGACACAUAAUAAUUUUGAUAUAACUUCAUCUUCUUCCCUAUUCUCCUUCAUCAUCUUCAUCUUCUUCAAUAAACUAUUGACACAUAAUAAUUUUGAUAUAACUUCAUCUUCUUCCCUAUUCUCCUUCAUCAUCUUCAUCUUCUUCUUUCUUUACCUUCAUCAUC